AUUCUAUCCAUGUGGGGAAGGAUGAGAAGCUUCGACUAAGGUUCGAUUCGAGCGAAAGCGAGAAAGCGUUGCCGCAGGCAACGACCCGAAGGGCGAAGCGCGCAGCGCUGAGUAAUCCUUCCCCUACCACCA
rnacentral:sRNA from 5 species